CCGCGUGAGUGAUGACGGCCUUCGGGUUGUAAAGCUUUGUCUUCAGGGACGAUAAUGACGGUACCUGAGGAGGAAGCCACGGCUAACUACGUGCCAGCAGCCGCGGUAAUACGUAGGUGGCAAGCGUUGUCCGGAUUUACUGGGCGUAAAGGGAGCGUAGGCGGACUUUUAAGUGAGAUGUGAAAUACCCGGGCUCAACCUGGGUGCUGCAUUUCAAACUGGAAGUCUAGAGUGCAGGAGAGGAGAGUGGAAUUCCUAGUGUAGCGGUGAAAUGCGUAGAGAUUAGGAAGAACACCAGUGGCGAAGGCGACUCUCUGGACUGUAACUGACGCUGAGGCUCGAAAGCGUGGGGAGCAAACAGGAUUAGAUACCCUGGUAGUC
rnacentral:rRNA from 1 species